rnacentral:lncRNA from 1 species
AAGACUUGCCUAAUUGACAAGAAGUGCAUAGCUUAUUAAAUAACUUGUCAGAAAUAGGUAAAAACAAUAUGAAACAAUAGAACGAAAAACUUGAGCAUGAGGGAAGACAAAUGGAGUACAAACCCUGUUCACUGGGACCCGUUAGGAGGGUGGUGCGUGUAGACUCGUCCUUCAUAACAAAAUAAGAUGAGUAAAAUUCAAAGAAAACAUCAUUGUCUACACAAAAUUUUUGAACAGACAAAAGGUUUUGUUAGGUGAGUAAAUUGUUGAGGAUCCAAUGUGAAAAAUGGGUAGUGAGUUACCGUUACCAACAAGUAAAUAAUCAUUACCAAAGUAGGCCCCAGGGUUUUCAAUGCUAGAUAUGUCCGGAGUAGCAUGCCCAUUAGCUACCGUAUCGGGCUUCCAAGAAAAUCCUGAUUGUGAGCCAGCAUCUGAGUGAGUAGCAUCGUUAGCCUGUGAUGUUGCACGAGAUUGAUUGAGUUGAUUAGGACACUGAGAGGGGAGAUGACCUAUGCUACAUCGGUUACAAUGGCCAUAAACAGUGUUUUGAGUUGAAGCCCAAGAGAAUUACCGUGUGCCCCCAUUGUGAUAAUUUGAAUGAACACUAUAGUUACCGCGUGAAGAACCGCGAGAACCACGGUUGCUUCGAUUGUU